CUACGGGCGGCAGCAGUGAGGAAUAUUGCACAAUGGGGGGAACCCUGAUGCAGCAACGCCGCGUGGAGGAUGACGCAUUUCGGUGUGUAAACUCCUUUUAUAUGUCAAGAAAAUGACGGUAGCAUAUGAAUAAGCACCGGCUAACUCCGUGCCAGCAGCCGCGGUAAUACGGAGGGUGCAAGCGUUACUCGGAAUCACUGGGCGUAAAGGACGCGUAGGCGGGUUGGAAAGUCAGGUGUGAAAUCCUACAGCUUAACUGUAGAACUGCACUUGAAACUUCUAAUCUAGAGUAUGGGAGGGGGAGAUGGAAUUAGUGGUGUAGGGGUAGAAUCCGUAGAUAUCACUAAGAAUACCUAAAGCGAAGGCGAUCUCCUGGAACAUUACUGACGCUAAGGCGUGAAAGCGUGGGGAGCAAACAGGAUUAGAUACCCCAGUAGUC
rnacentral:rRNA from 1 species